rnacentral:rRNA from 1 species
UUGAUUCUGCCUGACGUGGACGCUUGCCUUGAAGAUUAAGCCAUGCAAGCUUGUGAAGAACUGGAACAGUGAACGGCUCAGUAUAACAGGCUUUAUCUACCCACUUGUGAUCAUAACCACGGGAAACUGUGGCUAAUUUAGUGGAUGAGAGCCUGACCUAUCAGCUUGGCGGUACGGUAAGUGCGUACCGUGGCUAUGACGGGUAACGGGGAAUCAGGGUUUGAUUCCGGAGAGGGAGCCUGAGAGACGGCUGCCACGUCCAAGGACGGCAGCAGGCGCGAAAAUUACCCAAUGAACAUUGAGGUAGUUACGAGGCAUAUUAGUAUGAGGCGUGUGUAACGCACACGCUGAAGGCGAUUGGAGGGCAAGUCUGGUGCCAGCAGCCGCGGUAAUUCCAGCUCCAAGAGCGUCUGUGUGAUUUGCUGCGGUUAAAAAGUGCGUAGUCUGAUUUAGCGCCUGAUUUUAAGGUGUGUCUUCCUGGCACACAUUAUGCAGGAACGCAGAUCUUGGGACAGGGAUGAGGCGAUGUUAUUCGGCAGCGAGGGGUGAAAACCGAUGACCUGUCGAGGAGCGACAGAGGCGAAAGCGGUCGCCACCCACUGGUCCGACGAUCAAGCACGUGAGCAGGAGUAUCGAAGGCGAUUAGAGACCGUCGUAGUUCCUAGCAGUAAACGAUGCCAACAUUGUGGUACAGCGAGAGUUGUAUUGCGAAAGGGAAACCUAGUGUAUGGGCUCCGGGGAUAGUACGGGCGCAAGCUUGAAACUUGAAGAAAUUGACGGAAGGACACCACAAGGAGUGGAGUGUGCGGGUUAAUUUGACUCAACGCGGGAAAACUUACCGGGGCAGGCGACGCUGUACGAUGGAGUACCAGAUGGUGUCGCGCGUGGUGCAUGGCCGUUCUUAACACGUGGGGUGACCUGUCUGGUUAAAUCCGAUAACGCGUGAGACCCAGGUUUUUAAGACGGUGCCGGUAACGGUGAGGAAGUUCUGGUCGAUAACAGGUCUGUGAUGCCCGUAGAUGUUCCGGGCUCCACGCGCACUACAAUGCUGAGAGUUACGUAAAGUAGAAUCUCGGCGUGGUUGGGAUUGACGCGUGUAAGUGUGUCAUGAACGCGGAAUUCCUAGUAGUUAGUAGUCACUAGCGACUGACGAAUGCGUCCCUGUUCUUUGUACACACCGCCCGUCGUUAUCUAAGAUGGCGGUGCGGAUGAAGACGCUUGCGCGUAAGAAUCCGUGCUGCUAGAUUGGAUACAAGUCGUAA